ACACUGUGCACAUUCAAUCAUAAAAUGGAGCGCUUAAGAAGAUUGAGUCAGAUUUUGUUCCCAUCAUAUCAAUCAGAGCGUCGAUAUCUCCACGAGAGUGACGUUCGAAGCGUAUUCUAAUAAGUGAAUAAGGGUUCGUAAAAUGUGACAUGUAAAAGAGCGACCUUUCAUGCAUAUUAUAAAUUUUACUCUUAAUAACAUUUUUUUGUUCUCUAAGUAUCCAAAAUUCAUCGUAAUCUCGAAGGCACUUCCUCCAAAUUUUUUGAAAGAAGGAAAAAAACGUUGACAAUUGUGCGCAAAAUUGAAAAAUUAUGAUGGAUCGAGCCACCUAAUGGAUAUUUGACACCGACAAUGCCAUGCGUGAAUGUGGGGGAGGGAAGCCGUUAUUAAAACUUACCCCUUGAAAAGUCUCAGAGACGUGGAUCAGACAACAUUAAAAACUUUUCUCGAAAUAGGUUAUGGCAGCUAAUUCUGCUGCGUGAUGAUUAAUGUUAGCAGCUGUUCGAAUUGGCACCGCCACCGUGGAAAACCCAUUUCGCUAUCCAGGAAUAGGAAAAAAGCCCGAUUUUUUUCAAAAUGCAAUUAAAUUUCAACCACCAACAAUAAUUGCAGCCGGUUUUAGUUGCUUUAUUUUGUUUGUUUGUCGGGAAAGUGGAAUGUUUUCAAGCGUACUCCACAAAUAAAUCAUUUUAAAGCCGGGGAAAAAGUUGGCGAUUCACUGAGGGUGAGAAAAUAAACAUUGACAUUGAGUAAGUGAGGGAUUCGUUGGCCUUAUUAAAUAAAGGAGAUCGAAACUGGCAUACCAUAGGAGGGUCACGAUGGAAGUAAUGGCACAAAAAGCUAAAAGCGACUACGGUGAAAUUACAUGAAUAAACGGACGAAUUAGGAUACAAAAUAAGGAAAAACGACGCGCAAAUUGACGCUUUUAUACUAGCUGA